rnacentral:rRNA from 1 species
CUCAGGACGAACGCUGGCGGCGUGCUUAACACAUGCAAGUCGAACGAAGCACCUUGAUUUGAUUCUUCGGAUGAAGAUCUUGGUGACUGAGUGGCGGACGGGUGAGUAACGCGUGGGUAACCUGCCUCAUACAGGGGGGUAACAGUUAGAAAUGACUGCUAAUACCGCAUAAGACCACAGCACCGCAUGGUGCAGGGGUAAAAACUCCGGUGGUAUGAGAUGGACCCGCGUCUGAUUAGGUAGUUGGUGGGGUAACGGCCUACCAAGCCGACGAUCAGUAGCCGACCUGAGAGGGUGACCGGCCACAUUGGGACUGAGACACGGCCCAAACUCCUACGGGAGGCAGCAGUAG